UACGGAGGGUGCGAGCGUUGUCCGGAAUCACUGGGCGUAAAGGGCGCGUAGGCGGCGCGGGAAGUCAUCGGUGAAAGUUCAGGGCUCAACUCUGAAUCGGCCGGUGAUACUCUCGUGCUUGAGCACUGUAGAGGCAGGUGGAAUUCCGGGUGUAGCGGUGGAAUGCGUAGAGAUCCGGAAGAACACCGGUGGCGAAGGCGGCCUGCUGGGCAGUAGCUGACGCUGAUGCGC
rnacentral:rRNA from 1 species